rnacentral:lncRNA from 1 species
UUUCUAUGGGGUAUGAGUUGAUUUUUCUUUUCUUAGGGACUGAUGAUGGGACUUAGGGCCUAGAGCAUGCUAGGGCACCACUAUCACUGAGUCACACCGCAGCUAUUGAGUGUGCUUUGUCACAUCAGAGAAGCCACAGGGGAAAUUCGUUCCAAACCCGAACAGAGCUUUGGGGUAGUUUCAACCUGAGCAUCCCCUGGGGAGGGGGUGAGCUCCCAUUUCUAAAGCUCCAUGACAACCAACAGAGGAUUAAAGAAAUCCAUAGCUGUCAGAAUUCUGCGCUGACAAGCCCAGGCAAACACACCAUCCUCGCUUCUGUAACUGGGGUGAGGCAGCUGUGCUGUGGAGAGUCGGGAGGAGAAGAGGGUUUCCUCAGGCUGAUGUCACAGUCCAGAACUUAGGGAAGCAAAGAAUGGCCUUUCCUGGGAUGUCAAAAGGUCAGCAAAAGACCCAGAGAGCCCUAUCCAUGGGCUGUCCCAGCUGGGCAUAGUCGAGUGGAGAACGAACCUCCAGUUACAUAAAUGGGUGCCGUGUGGCCCCUGAGCUCAGCUUUGCCUCUACACAAAGGCAAAUCUCCCUCCAUCAGGACUUGGCUCUGCACGAUGUUCUCAGAAUUCUGUGCUCACAUGGCUCCAGCAUACUCCAAAACCAAGGGAAGAAAAGAAAAAGCUAAAAGGGGUACUUUUUGCCACCCAUCCAUCUUUCCCCCUUUGUUCUACAGUGAUGAAUCAGCCAUGACAAAUGUCACACAGUGUGUCCCCUGGGAGAGGAGAAUCCUGUGCCCUUAUUCUGUGCAAAUGAAGUCAUUCCUCUCCAUGGCCACACUCUGAGGCCAUGGUGAAAGAAUACCUCUGCUGGAUCUUUACGUGGAGCUCCAAAGCUGUGCUCAUUAGCAAGUGCAUUACAGCUGGAUUGCUGAUAGCAAUUACGAGGGGGGAAAACAAUAAUUAAGCAAACAGAGCCAUGGAAGAUGAGAUACGGUAUGCACGGUGU